rnacentral:rRNA from 1 species
AGUGAACGCUGGCGGUAGGCCUAACACAUGCAAGUCGAACGGCAGCACAGUAAGGGCUUGCUCUUACGGGUGGCGAGUGGCGGACGGGUGAGGAAUACAUCGGAAUCUACUUUUUCGUGGGGGAUAACGUAGGGAAACUUACGCUAAUACCGCAUACGACCUACGGGUGAAAGCAGGGGAUCUUCGGACCUUGCGCGAUUGAAUGAGCCGAUGUCGGAUUAGCUAGUUGGCGGGGUAAAGGCCCACCAAGGCGACGAUCCGUAGCUGGUCUGAGAGGAUGAUCAGCCACACUGGAACUGAGACACGGUCCAGACUCCUACGGGAGGCAGCAGUGGGGAAUAUUAGACAAUGGGCGCAAGCCUGAUCCAGCCAUACCGCGUGGGUGAAGAAGGCCUUCGGGUUGUAAAGCCCUUUUGUUGGGAAAGAAAAGCAGCAGGUUAAUACCCCGCUGUUCUGACGGUACCCAAAGAAUAAGCACCGGCUAACUUCGUG